rnacentral:rRNA from 1 species
CUAACCAUGCAAGUCGAACGGCAGCACAGAAGAGCUUGCUCUUUGGGUGGCGAGUGGCGGACGGGUGAGUAAUGUCUGGGAAACUGCCCGAUGGAGGGGGAUAACUACUGGAAACGGUAGCUAAUACCGCAUAACGUCGCAAGACCAAAGUGGGGGACCUUCGGGCCUCACACCAUCGGAUGUGCCCAGAUGGGAUUAGCUAGUAGGUGGGGUAAUGGCUCACCUAGGCGACGAUCCCUAGCUGGUCUGAGAGGAUGACCAGCCACACUGGAACUGAGACACGGUCCAGACUCCUACGGGAGGCAGCAGUGGGGAAUAUUGCACAAUGGGCGCAAGCCUGAUGCAGCCAUGCCGCGUGUAUGAAGAAGGCCUUCGGGUUGUAAAGUACUUUCAGCGGGGAGGAAGGCGGUGAGGUUAAUAACCUUGCCGAUUGACGUUACCCGCAGAAGAAGCACCGGCUAACUCCGUGCCAGCAGCCGCGGUAAUACGGAGGGUGCAAGCGUUAAUCGGAAUUACUGGGCGUAAAGCGCACGCAGGCGGUCUGUUAAGUCAGAUGUGAAAUCCCCGGGCUUAACCUGGGAACUGCAUUUGAAACUGGCAGGCUUGAGUCUCGUAGAGGGGGGUAGAAUUCCAGGUGUAGCGGUGAAAUGCGUAGAGAUCUGGAGGAAUACCGGUGGCGAAGGCGGCCCCCUGGACGAAGACUGACGCUCAGGUGCGAAAGCGUGGGGAGCAAACAGGAUUAG